CCUACGGGUGGCAGCAGUGAGGAAUAUUGGUCAAUGGGCGGAAGCCUGAACCAGCCAAGUAGCGUGCAGGAUGACGGCCCUACGGGUUGUAAACUGCUUUUAUACGGGAAUAACACGCCUUACGUGUAGGGCUUUGCAUGUACCGUAUGAAUAAGGACCGGCUAAUUCCGUGCCAGCAGCCGCGGUAAUACGGAAGGUCCGGGCGUUAUCCGGAUUUAUUGGGUUUAACGGGCGCGUAGGCCGCAUGUCAAGCGUGCUGUGAAAUGUCCGGGCCCAACCCGGGCCUUGCCGGGCGAACGGGCGUGCUUGAGUCCGCGGCAAGCAGGCGGAAUUCGUCGUGUAGCGGU
rnacentral:rRNA from 1 species